CCUACGGGGGGCUGCAGUAGGGAAUAUUGCUCAAUGGGGGAAACCCUGAAGCAGCAACGCCGCGUGGAGGAUGAAGGUUUUCGGAUUGUUAACUCCUUUUGUUAGAGAAGAUAAUGACUGUAUCUAACGAAUAAGCACCGGCUAAAUCCGUGCCAGCAGCCGCGGUAAUACGGAGGGUGCAAGCGUUACUCGGAAUCACUGGGCGUAAAGAGCGCGUAGGCGGGAUAGCAAGUCAGAUGUGAAAUCCUAUGGCUUAACCAUAGAACUGCAGUUGAAACUGGUAGUCUAGAGUAUGGGAGAGGUAGGUGGAAUUCGUGGUGUAGGGGUGAAAUGCGUAGAGAUCAAGAAGAAUACUGAUUGCGAAGGCGACCUGCUAGAACAUAACUGACGCUGAUGCGCGAAAGCGUGGGUAGCAAACAGGAUUAGAUACCCGAGUAGUC
rnacentral:rRNA from 1 species